rnacentral:rRNA from 1 species
GACGAACGCUGGCGGCGUGCUUACACAUGCAAGUCGAACGGAAAGACCCUGCUUUUGUGGGGUGCUCGAGUGGCGAACGGGGGAGUAACACGUGAGUAACCUGCCCUUGACUUUGGGAUAACUUCAGGAAACUGGGGCUAAUACCGGAUAGGAGCUCCUGCUGCAUGGUGGGGGUUGGAAAGUUUCGGCGGUUGGGGAUGGACUCGCGGCUUAUCAGCUUGUUGGUGGGGUAGUGGCUUACCAAGGCUUUGACGGGUAGCCGGCCUGAGAGGGUGACCGGCCACAUUGGGACUGAGAUACGGCCCAGACUCCUACGGGAGGCAGCAGUGGGGAAUAUUGCACAAUGGGCGGAAGCCUGAUGCAGCAACGCCGCGUGCGGGAUGACGGCCUUCGGGUUGUAAACCGCUUUCGCCUGUGACGAAGCGUGAGUGACGGUAAUGGGUAAAGAAGCACCGGCUAACUACGUG